AUGUCUUUGCUGGAUGCCCAUUGCUCAGUAAUAGCAGUUAAUUGUGUUGUCCUUUCUGGAGCUCAGUUGUUCCUUGUACUGACUGAGCAGUUGGCAGUGUGUCGCAGGGAGAUGUAUGAGGGUGUGAACGAGCUGCAGGGCCGACCAACCAUAAUGACAGCAAUAGGUAUGGAUCUGUGGCAUUUUCUGGACUCAGAUACCGGCUUGUUGGCUAUGAAAGGUUUGUGGCUGGCUCAGUUUGGAAGAAGCCGAAGCUUGAAUUGGUUGUAUUGGGGCAGUACACAUGAGACAUCAGUGAUCAUCAUGCCACCAACUCCCUGUUACAUCAACCACGAACCAGUAUCCCGGAUGUCAGUGUGCAGGGCAUUUCCAGGAAUAUGUUGGCAUGCACAGAUGCUCGGUAUCCUUGUCUUAGGGUUGGAUGCUGGAAAUGCCAAGAAUUGGCUGAUCAUAUUGUCUAUUCUUCUGUUUCUGCCAGUGAGGUAA
rnacentral:rRNA from 1 species